AAGUGACUACAAAAUACAAAAAAAAAACAAAACACAAAAGAAUGCCAUUUCUUUCACUAUGCUAUUGGACUCAUCAGAGUGCAGAAAUAAUCAUGCACUCAAAUUUUGUGGAUCAAUGGGAUCCUCAUAAACUUCUAAGGGUAGGUCAGCCUAUGGUUCCUCAUUUUCUUCCUCAUCUAGGGGGGAUAGAAAGAGUGAGUUCCAUAU
rnacentral:lncRNA from 1 species